UACUAGCCCUAGUUGUUGGAAAGUAUAAGAAUAAAACUAGAAAGAUGCUUCUAACUUGUUCCAAUGUGGUAUAUAUUGGUAAAAUUAACAGCUUAUAUUGAGUGCAGUUCUAAGACUCAACAGAAUGUCAAAGCUGUUUUUGAUACUGCCAUUAAGGUUGUUCUUCAACCUCAAAGAAGGAAGGAGAUGGUUCGGAAGAAAAGGCAUCGACGGUCUGGUUGCUCGAUUGCGAGCCUAGUAUGUGGAGGCUGUGAGGCUUAGCACAGAUUAAAAAGCCAGAGUAGAUGAUUUUUCACUCACUCUUGGAAUGGAAUAUUGGUUUGUAGUUUUUAAGGGGUUGCUCAACAAGCAAGGGCUGAAUUCUGAUUAUUAUUACUGGAUAGCUAAUGAUGUUCUUUUUGAGUGUAUUAUAAUAUAGUUUUGACAUAGUUUACGCACCAGACAGGAAGUAAUGAAGGGAAUUGUUCAUUCUCUUAUCUUUUGUACUGUUACUGGGUAAAUUAUGUCUCAACACAUUAUAUGUUUUUUCUGCCAAAGUAGUACCACUACUAUUCUCUCUAUCUCUCCUCUGUGUAUCCCAAUAUAUCUUGUAUUUUUCUUAGUAUGCCUUUUGAGCCUAAUGGAAAUUUGUUGCUUGGGUUGCUCAAAACCAGUGAAGGACGCCUCGUCUAGUGUUAAACCUUCCAUGCCAGCGGCGGCUACGAGUAGUUCAUAUAGGUAAAAAACUAGCUUACUUAUAUAUGAAUUGAUCUUGCUUCUCUCUUCAUAUAGUGGUCCAAAGUAGCUGCUUGUGUCUGGAAGAACAUGAUAUCCUUAGUUGGAUUGAUUUUGGGAGUUGGGUAUAUACUCGUGCUAAAUUAAAAUGAGGUAUUGGCUUUCAGAAGACCCUUUCUUCAUAAGGUUUUAGACUAUGAAGAUGAAUUCUUUGCUUUGUUGAUGCUUGUUCUUGAGACUCAUAGCUUACGGACUACAGGGUAUUGUUGUGGGGCUUCAUAAUUUGGAUAGUGUAAUUCCUAUAAUAAGAGAAUCUUCAAGCAAUGCAGUUGCAACAUCUGGUCUAAAAAAUGCAGGCUAAGGCAGCUGAAACUGUGUCAGAAAAUAGGAAAAACUAGAUCUUAAAUGUUUGUGAAUUGAGAUUGAAAUGAAAGAAAUAGUUUGGAGUUACGAUGAACUUGUGAAGAUUCUUCAGGUGAUAGCAUCAAGGCAAUUAGUGGAACUUUUACUGUUGUAGAUCUCUUUCUGUUGCAAGAUAAUCAAAGAAAGUUUUUUGGUUUCUAUACUUUCAUAUUGGGCUUCCACUUACAUAUGGGACUUCAUCAGCUUCUUAUUUCCUUUCUCUUUUGCAAUUGGUCUUUUUAGUAUAUUUGGUCUGGAUCAGUUUAUCGGAAGGGAUUGUUUCUUGCCAACAGUCAUCAUGUUUUUGGGAUAUGGUUUAGUUGUUGCAUCGUCAACAUAUUGCCUUUCUUUCUUCUUUUCAGACCAUACUAUGGCUCAGGUGAGAAAUAUUUUUAUCCUUAUCGAUGUCCGGACAAUCAUAAUUUCUGCUUACGCUUUCAAGCUUAUAAAAAUAUUUUAUUCUCUGCAAUGUAGUUCUCUUGAUCAACUUUUUCUCUGGACUCAUUCUUAUGGUCAUAUCUUUCAUUAUGGGGCUUAUUAAGUCAACUGUUAGUGCAAAUUCUUUUCUCAAGAAUUUCUUCUGACUAUCUCCAGGGUUUUGCUAUGCUGAUGAGCUUGCAUCACUAGCUCUUCUGCGUCAAGGGAUGAAAGAUAAAUCUAGUGAUGCAGCUUUUGAUUGGAAUGUAACUGGUGCCUCUAUAUGCUAUCUUGGUGUUGAGAGCAUUUGUUACUUCUUGUUGACACUUGGGCUUGAACUCUUGCCUUCCUACAAGGAAUGGUGGAGUAUAAAAAGUUUCCGACGUGAUGGUUCUCCUCAUUUAGAACCACUUUUGGGAUCCUCUGCAGAAAAGGUUGCUCUUGACUUCGAUGAAGACUCAGAUGUGGCAAUGGAAAGAAACAGAGUACUUUCAGGUUCCGUUGAGAAUGCUAUCAUUUACUUGCGUAAUCUUUGAAAGGUAUGUCUUCACAGUAUUUGGAUAGUUCUCAAACUGAGCUUUAUAUCUUUUCUCUUAUAGAAACACAACUUUUGUUAAGAAUAAAGAAGAGUACAAGUAAGUAGAGAAUUGGGUGUCCCUAACAGAAAGAGAAAAAAGAAAGGAAAAAAAUAGCAUGAAACUCAAAGUGAGUUCUAUUGGUUUGGACCCCUCCACAAUCUGUUUCUUUAAUCUUUAAAUAUGUUGGAAAUUUCAGGUGUAUCCUGGAGGAAAAGUGGCAGUGCAGUCUCUGACUUUCUCAGUUCAAGAGGGGGAAUGUUUUGGCUUUUUAGGCACAAAUGGAGCAGGAAAGACAACCACUCUGUCAAUGCUAUCUGGAGAGGAAUCUACAACAGAUGGAUCAGCUUACAUAUUUGGGAAAAGUAUUCGCACCAAUCCAAAGGCAGCUCGUCAGCAGAUUGGGUUUUGCCCACAGUUUGAUGCCUUUGCUAGAAUUUUAAACUGUCCAAGAGCAUCUUGAGCUUUAUGCAAAAUUAAAAGGAGUGUCAGAUUAUCGUAUAGAUGAUGUUGUAAUGGAAAAGUUAGUGGAGUUUGACUUGUUGAAGCAUGCUAACAAACCAUCAUUUUCUCUAAGUGGAGGAAACAAGCGUAAAUUGUCUGUUGCGAUCGCAAUGAUUGGAGAUCCUCCUAUAGUCAUACUUGAUGAACCAUCUACAGGUAAAACAGCUAAGAUUUUUUUUUUCUUAGACACAAAUUGAUACAAAAACAAUAGAAUUAAAUUGCACAUUUUUCUUCGCCCUCUAUUUACACUACAUGGUCUUUGUUAUAUGAGUCUAUGAUUAGUUUGUUUUCGGAACUAAUAAAGUAUAAAUUUUUCAUUUAAAAUUGUAGUGACAGCUAUGUAUUGUUGUUGAUUUUCAUAAUUUUCUUAUAAUUCUUUCACAGAUCAUGCCUACAGAUGCUCAAAGGAUGCUUUAAGAGUUUGAGGGGUGUGUGCUUCUAGCUUUUGAGUUGGAGCUAGAUCAGGAUAGAGGCUUCACAUUUUUUUUUUUAUGUUUGUUUGCCUAAUUUAGUGUUAGUUUUUUUUUGUUCAUUUAGUUUGGUUUGUAUUGGGGUAACUUUUUUCUGUUUUCCAUGUUGGCAACUCUGAUUCAUGGAGUUUGUUGUUGUAGUUCAUAGACAAUACAAUUCAAGCAAGGACUAUGUAAUUGAAUUUUUUAUGAUUGCUAUUGUAAUUUUUAUGUAA